UACGUAGGGUGCAAGCGUUGUCCGGAAUUAUUGGGCGUGAAGGGCUCGUAGGCGGUCCAUCGCGUCGGGAGUGAAAAGCUGGGGCUUAACCCCAGUCCUGCUUCCGAUACGGGUGGACUAGAGGUAGGUAGGGGAGAACGGAAUUCCUGGUGUAGCGGUGAAAUGCGCAGAUAUCGGGAGGAACACCGGUGGCGAAGGCGGUUCUCUGGGCCUGACCUGACGCUGAGGAGCGAAAGCGUGGGGAGCGAACAGG
rnacentral:rRNA from 1 species